rnacentral:rRNA from 1 species
UACGUAGGGGGCUAGCGUUGUCCGGAAUCAUUGGGCGUAAAGCGCGUGUAGGCGGUCCGGUAAGUCCGCUGUGAAAGUCGAGGGCUCAACCCUCGAAUGCCGGUGGAUACUGUCGGGCUUGAGUACGGAAGAGGCGAGUGGAAUUCCUGGUGUAGCGGUGAAAUGCGCAGAUAUCAGGAGGAACACCAAUUGCGAAGGCAGCUCGCUGGGACGUUACUGACGCUGAGACGCGAAAGCGUGGGGAGCAAACAGG